rnacentral:rRNA from 1 species
UACGAAGGGGGCUAGCGUUGUUCGGAAUUACUGGGCGUAAAGCGCACGUAGGCGGACUUUUAAGUCAGGGGUGAAAUCCCGGGGCUCAACCUCGGAACUGCCUUUGAUACUGGAAGUCUUGAGUAUGGAAGAGGUAAGUGGAAUUGCGAGUGUAGAGGUGAAAUUCGUAGGUAUUCGCAGGAACACCCAGUGGCGAAGGCGGCUUACUGGUCCAUUACUGACGCUGAGGUGCGAAAGCGUGGGGAGCAAACAGG